AUGAACGCUGGCGGCGUGCCUAAUACAUGCCAGUCGCGCGAACAGAUAAGGAGCUUGCUCCUUUGACGUUAGCGGCGGACGGGUGAGUAACACGUGGAUAACCUACCUAUAAGACUGGGAUAACUUCGGGAAACCGGAGCUAAUACCGGAUAACAUAUUGAACCGCAUGGUUCAAUAGUGAAAGGCGGCUUUGCUGUCACUUAUAGAUGGAUCCGCGCCGUAUUAGCUAGUUGGUAAGGUAACGGCUUACCAAGGCAACGAUACGUAGCCGACCUGAGAGGGUGAUCGGCCACACUGGAACUGAGACACGGUCCAGACUCCUACGGGAGGCAGCAGUAGGGAAUCUUCCGCAAUGGGCGAAAGCCUGACGGAGCAACGCCGCGUGAGUGAUGAAGGUCUUCGGAUCGUAAAACUCUGUUAUCAGGGAAGAACAAAUGUGUAAGUAACUGUGCACAUCUUGACGGUACCUGAUCAGAAAGCCACGGCUAACUACGUG
rnacentral:rRNA from 1 species